rnacentral:rRNA from 1 species
CAAGUCGAACGGCAGCACAGCAGUAGCAAUACUGUGGGUGGCGAGUGGCGGACGGGUGAGGAAUACAUGGGAAUCUGCCCUGUCGUGGGGGAUAACGUAGGGAAACUUACGCUAAUACCGCAUACGACCGGAAGGUGAAAGCGGCGGACCGCAAGGCGUCGCGCGACUGGAUGAGCCCAUGUCGGAUUAGCUAGUUGGCGGGGUAAAGGCCCACCAAGGCGACGAUCCGUAGCUGGUCUGAGAGGAUGAUCAGCCACACUGGAACUGAGACACGGUCCAGACUCCUACGGGAGGCAGCAGUGGGGAAUAUUGGACAAUGGGCGCAAGCCUGAUCCAGCCAUGCCGCGUGAGUGAAGAAGGCCUUCGGGUUGUAAAGCUCUUUUGUCCGGAAAGAAAAGCCUUCGGUUAAUACCCGGGGGUUCUGACGGUACCGGAAGAAUAAGCACCGGCUAACUUCGUGCCAGCAGCCGCGGUAAUACGAAGGGUGCAAGCGUUACUCGGAAUUACUGGGCGUAAAGCGUGCGUAGGUGGUUCGUUAAGUCUGAUGUGAAAGCCCUGGGCUCAACCUGGGAAUGGCAUUGGAAACUGGCGAUCUAGAGUGCGGUAGAGGGUAGUGGAAUUCCCGGUGUAGCAGUGAAAUGCGUAGAGAUCGGGAGGAACAUCUGUGGCGAAGGCGACUGCCUGGACCAGCACUGACACUGAGGCACGAAAGCGUGGGGAGCAAACAGGAUUAGAUACCCUGGUAGUCCACGCCCUAAACGAUGCGAACUGGAUGUUGGGUGCAACUAGGCACUCAGUAUCGAAGCUAACGCGUUAAGUUCGCCGCCUGGGGAGUACGGUCGCAAGACUGAAACUCAAAGGAAUUGACGGGGGCCCGCACAAGCGGUGGAGUAUGUGG